UACAGAGGUCUCAAGCGUUGUUCGGAUUCAUUGGGCGUAAAGGGUGCGUAGGCGGCGCGGUAAGUCGGGUGUGAAAUCUCGGAGCUUAACUCCGAAACUGCAUUCGAUACUGCCGUGCUUGAGGACUGGAGAGGAGACUGGAAUUUACGGUGUAGCGGUGAAAUGCGUAGAUAUUGGGAGGAACACCAGUGGCGAAGGCGGCUCACUGGACCGGAACUGACGCUGAGGCGCGAAAAGCGUGGGGGAGCAAACAGG
rnacentral:rRNA from 1 species